AACAGGAUUAGAUACCCUGGUAGUCACGCCCUAAACGAUGUCAACUAGCUGUUGGGGCCUUUCGGGCCUCUACGUCAGUACAGCUAACGCGUGAACUUGACCGCCUGGGGAGUACGGUCGCAAGAUUAAAACUCAAAGGAAUUGACGGGGACCCGCACAAGCGGUGGAUGAUGUGGAUUAAUUCGAUGCAACGCGAAAAACCUUACCUACCCUUGACAUGUCUGGAAUGCCGAAGAGAUUUGGCAGUGCUCGCAAGAGAACCGGAACACAGGUGCUGCAUGGCUGUCGUCAGCUCGUGUCGUGAGAUGUUGGGUUAAGUCCCGCAACGAGCGCAACCCUUGUCACUAGUUGCUACGAAAGGGCACUCUAAUGAGACUGCCGGUGACAAACCGGAGGAAGGUGGGGAUGACGUCAAGUCCUCAUGGCCCUUAUGGGUAGGGCUUCACACGUCAUACAAUGGUCGGGACAGAGGGUCGCCAACCCGCGAGGGGGAGCCAAUCCCAGAAACCCGAUCGUAGUCCGGAUCGCAGUCUGCAACUCGACUGCGUGAAGUCGGAAUCGCUAGUAAUCGCGGAUCAGCAUGUCGCGGUGAAUACGUUCCCGGGUCUUGUACACACCGCCCGUCACACCAUGGGAGUGGGUUUUACCAGAAGUAGUUAGCCUAACCGCAAGGGGGGCGAUUACCACGGUAGGAUUCAUGACUGGGGUGAAGUCGUAACAAGGUAACC
rnacentral:rRNA from 1 species